rnacentral:rRNA from 1 species
UUAGUACGAGAGGACCGGGAUGGACUGGCCGCUGGUGAAUCUGUUGGUUAAUCAAAGCCAUGGCAGAGUAGCCAAGCCGGGAGGGGAUAAACGCUGAAGGCAUCUAAGCGUGAAGCCCCCCUCAAGAUGAGAUAUCCCUACUGACAAGGUAGUAAGACCCCUUGAAGACGACGAGGUAGAUAGGGCGGAGGUGGAAGUGCAGUAAUGUAUGGAGCUGACCGCAACUAAUCGGUCGAGGGCAUGACCAAA